CGUAACCUACCCUGUAGCUCCGGGCUUUUGUUUCGUUUCUAGUAAUCAGAAGCUCGUUUCUACAGGUAUCUUACGG
rfam:Daphnia magna strain Xinb3 scaffold00810, whole genome shotgun sequence.